rnacentral:rRNA from 1 species
CAAAAACAUGUCCUUUUGUUUAUUUUUUAAGGUCUGACCUGCCCACUGAUUUAAUUUAAUGGCCGCAGUAUAUUAACUGUGCAAAGGUAGCAUAAUCAUUAGUCUUUUAAUUGAAGGCUUGCAUGAAUGGUUGGACGAAGCAUAUACUGUAUCUACUAAGUUUUUAUUAGAAGUUUAUUUUUUAGUUAAAAAGCUAAAAUUUUACUGAAAGACGAGAAGACCCUAUAGAUCUUUAUAUUAUUUUUUUUCUAUAUUUAUUUAGGAUAUAUUUAUUUAUAGAUUUUUAUAAUAUUUUAUUGGGGUGAUAUUAAAAUUUAUAAAACUUUUAAUUGUAAAAUUGAACAUUUAUUUAUGGUUAAAUGAUCCGUUAUUAACGAUUAUAAAAUUAAGUUACCUUAGGGAUAACAGCGUAAUCUUUUUGGAGAGUUCUUAUCGAUAAAAAGGUUUGCGACCUCGAUGUUGGACUAAAAUAAGUUUCGGGCGUAGCAGUUCGUAAUGAUAAGUCUGUUCGACUUUUAAUUUUUUACAUGAUCU